rnacentral:rRNA from 1 species
CCUACGGGAGGCAGCAGUAGGGAAUCUUCCACAAUGGGCGAAAGCCUGAUGGAGCAACGCCGCGUGGGUGAAGAAGGUCUUCGGAUCGUAAAACCCUGUUGUUAGAGAAGAGAGUGCGUGCGAGUAACUGUUCACGUUUCGACGGUAUCUAACCAGACAGCCACGGCUAACUACGUGCCAGCAGCCGCGGUGAUACGUAGGUGGCAAGCGUUAUCCGGAUUUAUUGGGCGUAAAGGGGACGCAGGCGGUCUUUUAAGUCUGAUGGGAAAGCCUUCGGCUUAACCGGAGUAGUGCAUUGGAAACUGGGAGACUUGAGUGCAGAAGAGGAGAGUGGAACUCCAUGUGUAGCGGUGAAAUGCGUAGAUAGAUGGAAGAAAACCAGUGGCGAAAGCGGCGCUCUGGUCUGUAACUGACGCUGAGGUUCGAAAGCGUGGGUAGCAAACAGGAUUAGAUACCCUAGGUC